CUCCUACGGGAGGCAGCAGUGGGGAAUUUUGCGCAAUGGGGGAAACCCUGACGCAGCAACGCCGCGUGGAGGAUGAAGCUCCUUGGGGUGUAAACUCCUUUCGAUCGGGAAGAUAAUGACGGUACCGACUACUAAGAAGCCCGGCUAACUUCGUGCCAGCAGCCGCGGUAAUUCCA
rnacentral:rRNA from 1 species